GAUGAACGCUGACGGAAUGCUUAACACAUGCAAGUCUUUGGCGAAGCUGUGCUUGCACAGCCUAGCCAAGGCGGACGGGUGAGUAACGCGUAAGGAACUUGCCCUGCAGUCAGGGAUAACAGACGGAAACGACUGAUAAGACCUGGUAAAGUCAGGCGGACUCAUGUCCAGCCUGAUGAAAAGAGAUGCUGCAGGAGAGCCUUGCGUCCUAUUAGCUUGUUGGUGGGGUAACGGCCCACCAAGGCGAUGAUAGGUAGCCGGCCUGAGAGGGUGGACGGCCACAAGGGGACUGAGAUACGGCCCUUACUCCUACGGGAGGCAGCAGUGGGGAAUAUUGGACAAUGGGGGCAACCCUGAUCCAGCAAUUCUGUGUGCACGAUGAAGGUUUUCGGAUUGUAAAGUGCUUUCAGCAGGGAAGAAAAAAAUGACGGUACCUGCAGAAGAAGCGACGGCUAAAUACGUG
rnacentral:rRNA from 1 species